AAAGCGCAUGCUUUUUGUUGAAAAACCAAGGUGGUAUGGGAUGGACCCGCGUCUGAUUAGCUGGUUGGCGGGGUAAAGGCCCACCAAGGCGACGAUCAGUAGCCGGCCUGAGAGGGUGGACGGCCACAUUGGGACUGAGACACGGCCCAAACUCCUACGGGAGGCAGCAGUGGGGAAUAUUGCACAAUGGGGGAAACCCUGAUGCAGCGACGCCGCGUGAGUGAGGAAGUAAUUCGUUAUGUAAAGCUCUAUCAGCAGGGAAGAAAAUGACGGUACCUGAGUAAGAAGCCCCGGCUAACUACGUGCCAGCAGCCGCGGUAAUACGUAGGGGGCAAGCGUUAUCCGGAUUUACUGGGUGUAAAGGGAGCGUAGACGGCAGUGCAAGUCUGGAGUGAAAGGCGGGGGCUCAACCCCCGGACUGCUUUGGAAACUGUUUGACUGGAGUGCAGGAGAGGUAAGUGGAAUUCCUAGUGUAGCGGUGAAAUGCGUAGAUAUUAGGAGGAACACCAGUGGCGAAGGCGGCUUACUGGACUGUAACUGACGUUGAGGCUCGAAAGCGUGGGGAGCAAACAGGAUUAGAUACCCUGGUAGUCCACGCGGUAAACGAUGCUCAAAGGGUGUCGGUG
rnacentral:rRNA from 1 species